GUGAGUAGUUCAGAGUUUGAUCCUGGCUCAGGACGAACGCUGGCGGCGUGCCUAACACAUGCAAGUCGAGCGGAGACAUUGAAGAGCUUGCUCUGAGAUGUUUUAGCGGCGGACGGGUGAGUAACGCGUGAGCAACCUUUCUCUCAGUGGGGAAUAACACACCGAAAGGUGUACUAAUACCGCAUGAGACCACAGUGCCGCAUGGUACAGGGGUCAAAGAUUUAUUGCUGAGAGGUGGGCUCGCGUCCGAUUAGAUAGUUGGUGAGGUAACGGCUCACCAAGUCGACGAUCGGUAGCCGACCUGAGAGGGUGAUCGGCCACAUUGGGACUGAGACACGGCCCAA
rnacentral:rRNA from 1 species